rnacentral:lncRNA from 1 species
UAAAAAGAAACUAUUUUUAAAGUAAAUUAUCAAAAUUGAUUACUAUUCGUUAACUUGAUAUUUUCUGAAGCUACCUACGUCAUCCUAACGAUAAUCACGGCCACCUAAACUAUAGGCCUGCGCGCUCAUUCAAAAUGGAGGCGGUCGAAGGCGGAAUGUUUACAUGCGAUUAUAUACAUAUUUGUCUUUUUAAGUUUUCCAAAUUAAAUUUUGCAAAAAAAAAAAUUAUAUAUAACUUAUAUAUAUAUAUCCAUAUAUAUAAUGGAUGAAAAUCGAAAUCUGAACGAUUUUUAAAACGAGAAAAAUGGCGGUCGUAUCUUUUUCGAAUUAAUGCUUUAUUUUUUAUUUUUCUCUCUUUCUAUUUUUUUUUUUCAUAAAAAAUUUAUAAACGAAAUUUUCAUCCGAAAUGGAAGAAAGAUUAUUCGAAAAUCUUUUGGGAAAUUCAACGUUAAAUCCAGCAGGAGAUUAAAGAGAUUACACCAGAUGAUGAUAAAAUGGGAUCAGAUUCUGAGGAAUGAAUAGAUCGAAUAGAUAAGUUUUGCCACGAAUUCGUUUGCAGCAGUAGUAGUAGUAGUAGUAGAGAGAGAGGAUUGAAGUGGGAAUAUUUAUCAAUGCUUAUUCCAACACUAAAUAGAUCACCGUGAGAAAUAACUCGCGAAAAUGAUGUAUGCCAUAUCUCGAAAACCAUCUUUCAUCAAAUAUAUGUUAAGAAAAGAAAAUUUUAAUAUCUUGCAGAAAUAUUAACAUUUCUUUCUUGAUUAAUGGCACGUUUGCACUUUCUUUUUUCGCCAUUUUCUUUAAAUUUCGUUUUUAUUUAAUGGUACAUUUCCGAAAAAAAAAGAAGUGCUUUUUGUUAAAUGAUAAAUGCUUCGGGGAUUUAGCGACUGGACUAACAAUUCCCAAAAAAGCAGUUAUCCAGAUUCCAUCUGGAUAAAUUUUCUAAACUCGAUUCGAAUUUUUAACAACGAAAAAAACAAAUUAAUUUUUUUCUUCUAAACGUAAUUAAAGUAGUCUCGAAUGAUUAAAGCUCAAACAACUCAAAAAUCGUAUUAUGUUAAAAAAAAAAAUAAAAUAAUAAUAUACUGAGAUGGGCACUUGAAUAAUGUUCUCCAUAAAACUUCGAGUGCAUUUCGAUUCUUUGUAUUAAUAUAAAUAUUUUAAAGCCGACAUUAUUAUUAUUACAAAUAUUUUAAAAGUAUUUUUCUGUUGGGGCUGUUGUUAAAGUCGAAUUUCCUAAAUGGUUCUUUAUGACUCAUUCGAUCAAACUAACUUGUUUUUAUUUUUUAGAAAAGUUAUACAUGUUUAUAUAUAAAGGAAGAAAAUUGCAAAACCUAUAAAAAUAAAUCAAGUUGUUUCGCGUACUAUUCGCGAUUAUAACCUGGUGUUUGUGGCCAGACAACUAUGGCUUUUGCAAGAACCCAUCUCGAUACGCGCCAUUAAACAGACACGACUGGAUUCAGGUGCAGUUAUUUGUUCUCUCAGUAAUUUAGCAAAUUCUACUGCGCUUUUAUAUUACUACCAUGAACCAAAAGUGCGGAUUUUAAACCCAACAGUAUACAGAAAUUAAAAAUAAAAUGAUCGGAAACCGUGCAUUAUUAUUUUUUUAAAUUUGAUUCGCAGAUUUUUAGUUGCGUCAGCUGAUUUUUGUGAUUUUAAUUCGUUGGCGUUGGAAAAAUCAUUCUAACAACUUUUUAAAAGAUAGCAAAAUAUGCGUCGUUUGCAUGUUUACCCGUUCGAAGAUGUUGACGAUAAAUGAAGUCGGAAAAACUUUAUUCCGCGAUGCGAGUUAUUCUUUAUGGUUAAAUUUCCCAUUAGACGCCUACCAGGAAAGCAAAUAUGCUGGACAGAGUUGGUUUUUUUCACCCAUUCCGCUGAUGAUAUUUAAGAAGAAAAAUAAACAGAUAAACAGUUCUGGAAGAAAAAUCGCUGUUUACUAUCUCAAUAAAUUAGCUAUCUGUUUUUUUUCCCCAAUCUCUUAAAAUCAAAACUGGAAAGUAUUUAUUUUUUUCCCCCUUUAAAAAUAUAGAAAUUUUAAAGAUAUAAGAUGAAAAUAGUUUUUACACGUGCGAUUGUUAGUGCUGUAGGUAAAUGGUUGCAUUAGUUCGAUGCAAUUUUGGUUAUGAUUUCUUAGAAGUUAAUCAGCAUUCUAUAAAAUUUUUAUUCAUUAGUCGAACAUUCAUUAAAAACUACAGCAUCUGAUUUAAUGCUUGAACAUUUAUC